CGCAUAGCUAAAUGUACUUUUGAGCCCUCUGUUAAAUGCAGUGGAAUCCACAACUCAGAGCUGUGACUAUCCUUUGGAAGGAACAGACAUGACAACCAUCGUCUUAACUGCACUGUGUCAGAGGAACCAUGAGUUUGGCAGCAAUCCAUACCCAGUGCAUGGAGGACCUUCAGAUGAAUUUUUUCUGCUACAGUUUAACUUGCCACGUUUAAUUUGCAAGUAUCAAGCAAUGUAGGUGGAGACCUGAGAUGACCCAGUGUGACUGCUUCCUUCCAUACUAGAACUGCUAUGCUGCUAUGCUGCUAAGGCUGGUGCCCAUGCUGAGGUGUAACAAGUAAGGCUUCAUUACUGAUCUCAUCUGCAUUCAUAAGCUUGAGGAGGAGGAGACACUCCUGUGUAUGUGAAAACAAGUUUAAAUAAAAUUGUUCAAGGCUUGCUGUAAACUGUUAUGCUGCAAUACACAAGUAAAUAGAAUUGUAGACUUGUACUAGCAUCUCUGCUGCUUCGUUAAAAAUAGUCUGUGGUUUUUUGUUUUACAAUCAAAUGCUGGACAUAAAAUAAACCUGGACAUUCUGCUGUAACUAUUGCACCUAUUUUAACUAUUUUCCCUUGUUCAGCUUU
rnacentral:lncRNA from 1 species